rnacentral:rRNA from 1 species
GACGAACGCUGGCGGCGUGCUUAACACAUGCAAGUCGAGCGGUAAGGCCCUUUCGGGGGUACACGAGCGGCGAACGGGUGAGUAACACGUGGGUGACCUGCCUUUAGCUCUGGGAUAAGCCUGGGAAACCGGGUCUAAUACCGGAUAUGACUCCGCGGCGCAUGUUGUGGGGUGGAAAGCCUUGUGCGGCUGGAGAUGGGCCCGCGGCCUAUCAGCUUGUUGGUGGGGUGAUGGCCUACCAAGGCGACGACGGGUAGCCGGCCUGAGAGGGCGACCGGCCACACUGGGACUGAGACACGGCCCAGACUCCUACGGGAGGCAGCAGUGGGGAAUCUUGCGCAAUGGCGAAAGCCUGACGCAGCGACGCCGCGUGAGGGAU